rnacentral:lncRNA from 1 species
UUCGUCUUCAUUUUUUUUUUUAUUUGAAAUCAUGUUAAAUUUUGUGACUAGGUAUUUGCCGAAAAUAAUUUUACAAUGUCAAAUGCAAUCUUGAAUCUAAUUUGUAAUGACGAGAACGAUUCCAUGUUGCGUGUAAAAAUGCGAUGCAAACAUGGAGACUUACUGUCAAUGCAAACGUCAUGGUCGGAGGGCAACCCAGCUAGAAGAUUUUG